AGUGAACGCUGGCGGUAGGCCUAACACAUGCAAGUCGAACGGCAGCACAGUAAGAGCUUGCUCUUACGGGUGGCGGGUGGCGGACGGGUGAGGAAUACAUCGGAAUCUACUUUUUCGGGGGGGAUAACGUAGGGAAACUUACGCUAAUACCGCAUACGACCUACGGGUGAAAGCAGGGGAUCUUCGGACCUUGCGCGAUUGAAUGAGCCGAUGUCGGAUUAGCUAGUUGGCGGGGUAAAGGCCCACCAAGGCGACGAUCCGUAGCUGGUCUGAGAGGAUGAUCAGCCACACUGGAACUGAGACACGGUCCAGACUCCUACGGGAGGCAGCAGUGGGGAAUAUUGGACAAUGGGCGCAAGCCUGAUCCAGCCAUACCGCGUGGGUGAAGAAGGCCUUCGGGUUGUAAAGCCCUUUUGUUGGGAAAGAAAAGCAGCAGGUUAAUACCCCGCUGUUCUGACGGUACCCAAAGAAUAAGCACCGGCUAACUUCGUG
rnacentral:rRNA from 1 species